rnacentral:lncRNA from 1 species
UUUGUAUCCCAGCACCUAUAUAAGAAGCUGAGUGUCUGCAUACCACUACCUCCAGCUCUGAGACAAGUGGAGAUCUUGUCCUGGCUUACUCUGGUCCACGGGUGUCUUCCUGGCUGCUCUCUCAUGGCAACCUCAUGGUGAAUCCUCCUGGUUCUUCCAGGUCUCUCUACACCUUUCUCUUGUCUCUUCCUCCCCUGCUUCCUCCCUCUGUCCCUCCUUUUCCCACACCCUCUCUUGACUCCCUCUCUCCUUGGUCUCCUCCUCUUUUAGUACCCCCAACUAUGAUCCAAAACCCUGCCCUAUUUAUUCUCUUCUCCUGCCCAGCUCUGUAUUAGCCAAUCAGAGGUGUUGGCAAACAGUUUUUACAUAACAUUAAGAUAACCGUGCCAUCAUCCUGACUGCAAAGAGGGGUCUGGGGCUCAUAGAAGUGAGCAUCUGAAAUACACAGUGCACACCCCCAUCCCUAACGCCAUCUCAGCCCUUAGACGGUCUUCUGUGACACUGAAAUGACAGAAUAGAUAGAUGCUCCAUCGCAUCCUUACUACAGCCCUUCCCCUCACGUUGUGGUUCAUUACAACUUCAUAACUUGUUACUUUGCUACUGUUACGAAUUACAAGCGAAUAUUUUUGGAGAUGGAGAUUCGCCAAAGAGAUCGAGAUCCACAGGUUGAGAACAACUGCUCUAGCAGGUAAACUGGAGGGAGUUUUGUAUAGACAACAAGAAAGCCUUGUUUGUAAAGAGGCGAUUUCAACUGCUGGUGGCACUGUGACAGACUGCUGGUGUUCAGGCAGAAGGAACUCUGUAAAACACCAUUUGGAUUCCAGGCAAGCACCUCUUCAUUCCCACAGGUAUCCAUCAUUUUCCACAGACAGAGCUCCUGUCAGCCAUUUUCCAUUCAUCCCUAGCUACAAAUGAAGUUGUAAUUGUAAGCUCACUGAUUAAACGAGGAACUGAGGAAAAAGC